rnacentral:rRNA from 1 species
CGGCGAGUGAGAGGGAAGAGCCCAAGAUUGAAAGCUGGCGUCUUCGGCGUCCGCAUUGUAAUCUCAAGAAGUGUUUUCCGCUUCGGACCAUGCCUAAGUCCCUUGGAAAAGGGCAUCAUAGAGGGUGAUAAUCCCGUACAUGGCAUGGAGCGCCCGAAGCUUUGUGAUACGCUUUCUACGAGUCGAGUUGUUUGGGAAUGCAGCUCAAAAUGGGUGGUAAAUGCCAUCUAAGGCUAAAUAUUGGGGAGAGACCGAUAGCGAACAAGUACAGUGAUGGAAAGAUGAAAAGAACUUUGAAAAGAGAGUUAAACAGUACGUGAAAUUGCCAAAAGGGAAGGGUAGGAGGUCAGAGAUGCGUCUUGGGAUUCAGCCUUGCUUUUGCAUGGUGUUUUUCCCAAGUUGCAGGCCAACGUCGGUUUUGGGCACUGGAGAAGGGUAGGAGGAACGUGGCACCUCUCGGGGUGUGUUAUAGCCUCCUACUGGAUACAGCGACCGAGACCGAGGAACGCAGCGUACUCGUAAGAGCGGGCCUUUUGGCACCUUUACGCUUAGGGCGUUGGCAUAAUGGCCCUCUACCACCCGUCUUGAAGCAC